ACUCCCCGUGUAGUUAGCUUCCAGGCAACGCAAACAUCUUCCUCCCCGCUCCCCCACCAAUCUCUCAGAUUGGGAAAGAACUUCAAGGGAAAAAGGACAGCUGAGUUUUUACUAACCAAGGGCAUGCCAAUGUCACUGCCAGAGUACAAAGGACCUGGAGGAGGGAGCUACUGGUCUCUCAGAGGUCACUGAGCUGUUCUCUGCACAAGCUGUUCUCUGGGAAGAAGGAGAGAGGAGCUGCUGAAGGGAGGCUUGCAUGCGGCUCCUGCUUCAUAUCCACCAGAACAACAGGGAAAGGCAGUAAGGAUGAAUGGAAAGGAGGUGGCUGAAGGCCGUCCUAGGGUUACAGCAGAGCAGGCGACUCUGCUACUGCAGAACCACACGACAGUGUGUCCUCUGCCAAGUCCCUUCUCCCAGAGGCUUUGUCUCCUCACCUGAAAGAUGAGGAGCAUGAAGAUUAAAGGGAAGGAGGCUGCCUUCCUGGAAGAGAAUUGCCGGGUUCACAGCACCUGCUCCCUUGCAACCUAGGGCUGCAUCUGCAGAGAUGGGACACAGGGACAACAUGCCUGUCCAUAGCUGGUGCUGCAAGGAUCUCCCCUCUCUCUAUUCCUGCCCACACAGGAUUAUGUAUGAGGCAGAGAUGGGUUCUCAGUGCUGCUGUGAGAUUUGAGCACCUGCUGGGUACAGAACUGAUAGUGGGCGAUGGCUGGUGGCAGACAAGGGACCUGGGGACACAGAAUGUGUCUGUGUUAAUUUGGGAGAGCCUUCUGGUCUUGCUUUCAUUAGCCUGGGCAGUCCAGAAGAGAAAGAAACACAUUUUAAAGGAAAAACAGAUUUAGCGAACAUUUACAGUAAAAACUGUCUGGAAAACGAA